rnacentral:rRNA from 1 species
CAAAUCAGGUAGGACUACCCGCUGAACUUAAGCAUAUCAAUAAGCGGAGGAAAAGAAACUAACAAGGAUUCCCCUAGUAACUGCGAGUGAAGCGGGAAAAGCUCAAAUUUAAAAUCUGGCAGUCAUUUGGCUGUCCGAGUUGUAAUCUAGAGAAGUGUUAUCCGCGCUGGACCGUG